GUGGGGAAUCUUAGACAAUGGGGGAAACCCUGAUCUAGCCAUGCCGCGUGAUCGAUGAAGGCCUUAGGGUUGUAAAGAUCUUUCAGGUGGGAAGAUAAUGACUGUACCACCAGAAGAAGCCCCGGCUAACUCCGUGCCAGCAGCCGCGGUAAUACGGAGGGGGCUAGCGUUGUUCGGAAUUACUGGGCGUAAAGCGCACGUAGGCGGAUUGGAAAGUUGGGGGUGAAAUCCCGGGGCUCAACCCCGGAACUGCCUUCAAAACUCCCAGUCUUGAGUUCGAGAGAGGUGAGUGGAAUUCCGAGUGUAGAGGUGAAAUUCGUAGAUAUUCGGAGGAACACCAGUGGCGAAGGCGGCUUCCUGGCACAAUACUGACGCUCAUGUGCGAAAGCUAGGGCAGCGAACGGGAUUAGAUACCCUUGUAGUCC
rnacentral:rRNA from 1 species